UAGGGAAUCUUCCACAAUGGACGCAAGUCUGAUGGAGCAACGCCGCGUGAGUGAAGAAGGCUUUCGGGUCGUAAAACUCUGUUAUUGAAGAAGAACGUGCGUGACAGUAACUGGUCAUGCAGUGACGGUAUUCAAUCAGAAAGUCACGGCUAACUACGUGCCAGCAGCCGCGGUAAUACGUAGGUGGCAAGCGUUGUCCGGAUUUAUUGGGCGUAAAGCGAGUGCAGGCGGUCUUUUAAGUCUGAUGUGAAAGUCUUCGGCUUAACCGAAGAAGGGCAUCGGAAACUGGGAGACUUGAGUGCAGAAGAGGAGAGUGGAACUCCAUGUGUAGCGGUGAAAUGCGUAGAUAUAUGGAAGAACACCAGUGGCGAAGGCGGCUCUCUGGUCUGUAACUGACGCUGAGGCUCGAAAGCGUGGGUAGCAAACAGGAUUAGAUACCCUGGUAGUCCACGCCGUAAACGAU
rnacentral:rRNA from 1 species